GACGAGCCUCACAAACGUUAUUCGGAAUUACUGGGCUUAAAGGGUGCGUAGGCGGCGUAGAAAGUUGGGUGUGAAAUCCCUCAGCUUAACUGAGGAAGGGCGCCCAAAACUACUAUGCUCGAGGGAGAUAGAGGAGUGCGGAACUUAGGGUGGAGCGGUGAAAUGCGUUGAUAUCCUAGGGAACACCGGUGGCGAAAGCGGCACUCUGGGAUCUCUUCUGACGCUGAGGCACGAAAGCUAGGGUAGCAAACGGG
rnacentral:rRNA from 1 species